rnacentral:tRNA from 1 species
GGCGACGUAGCCAAGUGGCAAGGCAGAGGUUUGCAAAACCUUCAUUCGUGGGUUCGAAUCCCACCGUCGCCU